GACGGAGGGUGCUAGCGUUGUUCGGAAUUACUGGGCGUAAAGGCGCGUAGGCGGCCCUGUCAGUCGGGUGUGAAAGCCCGGGGCUCAACCCCGGAACGGCACCCGAGACGGCGGGGCUGGAGACCGGGAGAGGAGGGUGGAAUAGCCAGUGUAGAGGUGAAAUUCGUAGAUAUUGGCUGGAACACCGGUGGCGAAAGCGGCUCUCUGGCCCGGUUCUGACGCUGAGGCGCGAAAGCGUGGGGAGCAAACAGGG
rnacentral:rRNA from 1 species